rnacentral:tRNA from 1 species
GGGCGGAUGGCGGAAUGGCAGACGCGCAAGGCUUAGGACCUUGUGGGGAAACUCAUGGAGGUUCAAAUCCUCUUCCGCCCA